rnacentral:rRNA from 1 species
AACGAACGCUGGCGGCAUGCCUAACACAUGCAAGUCGAACGAGAUCUUCGGGUCUAGUGGCGCACGGGUGCGUAACGCGUGGGAAUCUGCCCUUUGGUUCGGAAUAACAGUUGGAAACGACUGCUAAUACCGGAUGAUGACGAAAGUCCAAAGAUUUAUCGCCAGAGGAUGAGCCCGCGUGGGAUUAGCUAGUUGGUGUGGUAAAGGCGCACCAAGGCGACGAUCCUUAGUUGGUCUGAGAGGAUGAUCAGCCACACUGGGACUGAGACACGGCCCAGACUCCUACGGGAGGCAGCAGUGGGGAAUAUUGGACAAUGGGCGAAAGCUUGAUCCAGCAAUGCCGCGUGAGUGAUGAAGGCCUUAGGGUUGUAAAGCUCUUUUACCCGGGAUGAUAAUGACAGUACCGGGAGAAUAAGCUCCGGCUAACUCCGUGCCAGCCGCCGCGGUAA